rnacentral:rRNA from 1 species
AGCGAACGCUGGCGGCAGGCCUAACACAUGCAAGUCGAGCGCCCAGCAAUGGGAGGCGGCAGACGGGAUAGUAACACGUGGGAACGUACCUUUCAGUUCGGAACAACCCAGGGAAACGUUGGGCUAAUACCGAAUACGUCCGUAAGGAGAAGAUUUAUCGCUGAAAGAUCGGCCCGCGUCUGAUUAGCUAGUUGGUGAGGUAAUGGCUCACCAAGGCGACGAUCAGUAGCUGGCUGAGAGGAUGA